UACGGAGGGGGCUAGCGUUAUUCGGAAUUACUGGGCGUAAAGCGCACGUAGGCGGCUUUGUAAGUCAGAGGUGAAAGCCCGGAGCUCAACUCCAGAACUGCCUUUGAGACUGCAUCGCUUGAAUCCAGGAGAGGUGAGUGGAAUUCCGAGUGUAGAGGUGAAAUUCGUAGAUAUUCGGAAGAACACCAGUGGCGAAGGCGGCUCACUGGACUGGUAUUGACGCUGAGGUGCGAAAGCGUGGGGGAGCAAACAGG
rnacentral:rRNA from 1 species